GGACUCUCCGUCCAAUAACAAACAUUUCUACAACGACGAAGGCUUUUCCCGGAUUAACGACUUGGAAGAUCGAUUGGAUUGUGACACCCGGAUUUAUUGUUCUGUGACUAGAGUCCCCAGUAUCUCAAAAGGAAGUAGAAAAAAUAAGGAAAGCCGUGAGCAAAGCGUCCAUACUGAAAUUGGCAGUUCCUGAGACACAAGUACGACCGACGGUCCCGGACUGCGGAGACGAAAUCGUUGACGAUGAAAAGGAUAAAUCAAUUGAAGAAGGAAAUACCGGUGAGAAAGAAACCGAUCGAAAAGACGGUGAAAGGAAGGAAGAAGAAAGUUUCGAUGGUCAAUCCAAGGACGAAGCAAUAACUGGGCAAACGUGUAACAAAAAAUGCAAUAAAGAAUUCAUCGACGAGACAGUCCCGGACUGCGGAGACGAAAUCGUUGACGAUGAAAAGGAUAGAUCAAUUGAAGAUAGAAAUACCGGUGAGAAAGAAACCGAUCGAAAAGACGGUGAAAGGAAGGAAGGAGAAAGUUUCGAUCGUCAAUCCGAGGACAUGGCGAUAACUGCGCAAACGAGUGGCAAACGAUACGAUGAAGAAAGCAUGGAUGAGUUCGAAUAAAAAUUGACUAUUGGAUAGAAUUCUAGCACGGAUAACCUUAAUUUAUGAAUAUUGAAACGUAACGCCCGCGGAGCGGCCCGAACCCGCUCGAACUCUCGAAUACUACGCGUACACAAAACAUCGCGGAGCGAAGGACAGGCGUGUGUCCCAACCGGCGGCCAUCUUGGUUACUGGCACAAAGGCCCGAGCGAGCCGGCGGGCAACGCUCUGAACAGCGCCACUUGACGAAAAAUCAAACUAAAUUAUAUUUUUCUUAUUCUAAUUGUUUUCAAACUUUUUAUUUAUCAAUACGAGCGUAAUUAGGCUCAAAAUUUCGGGAAAAAUAGCCGCUAUCGAAGAAAAUAAAAGAAAAGGUUAAAUCUUCUGGAAAAUUUGUACAAUUUCAAAUAGAGCGAAAUGCUUGAUUACAGCGCAUGCGCGGGGCUAAGCGUUCAUGGGCUAUAGGAGCCCGAACGUGACUUUUUCCGAUUUUCCGAAUAAAAUUAAGAUUAAUGAUAUUAAAUAAAACAAUGAAGCCAAAACAUGCAACUAAUUAAAUAAUGGCAAUUUUCAUUAGAAUUUUAUUAUUUUAAAGUCACGCUGAGCUAAAAAACAUCAGAAGCGGAAUUCGGCGCGUCGGGCAAAAUAGCGAUCAGCCAAUAACAAGGCGCGAAAUAUGGCAUCCAGCCAAUAGAGAAGCCCGUUACAGAAGAAUGCGCAGAACACAUCCGAAAUAAGGAAAUUCGGCGUUUGAGAGAUUUUAGAGUGGGGAACGGGGUAUAAGAGUCGGUGCACGGCUUAUUCGGGAGGCAGUUCACCCUACCUCUAGAAUCAACUCGGAUCUCCUAGAAGAACUAGA